AAUGUAAAUGAUAUUUUAUGUUAAUGAAUUUUUCCUGCAGUCUGACCUCCUUAGCAAAAAAAUAAGCAGAUAAUUUAGGGUGAAAGGGUCUGGACUACACAAAAGGACACUCAGGCAAUGUUUCAGUGGUUUGAGAGCAGUCCUAUCCAUGUUUCUUUAGCUGUGGCCUGUUGCCACAUGGAAAUUUCCUGGUGGGCCACCAUGUUAAAGAUUGGCUAAGGUCUACUCUGUGGAGGCAGGUUUACCCUGGAGACCAUUCUAAAAGUAAUGGAAAACCUACUCAGGAAAUGUAAUUUCAAGGCCUAUCUUUUUUGACUUGUGCAAUUUUGAAAGUUCAGUCUGUGUCAUACACAUUUUGUGUCAGAUGAAGUUUUCACAGCAAAGCUCAUAGUAGUUCUGAUAACUGAUACUAUAAAGAAAAACCAGAAACACAAUUUCCAGAAGCUUCUCUGGACACUAGAAAAGACUGUCAAAUAAAAUAGUUUUCUCAAGUCAAAAUGAUCAUUAUUGCCCUUGAAGACUAAAUGAUGUAUUGUUUGAAUAAAUCUAAUGAGUUAGGAACCUAUACAGUGGUUUAUACCCCUCUUCCCAUAUACCCUUUACCUUCUGGGAUUUCUCAGGUUUCCCAUCUAUGAAAUGGCGGUGUUCAUAAUGUUGUAUUUCAUGAGUGUAAACAAUAUAAUCUUAUACUUCAUAAAAUUGCUAUAGAGCUAGGAUGAGCUAAUAGGUUUGAAAUAACUUUGUAUACUAUAAAAUGCUAUUAAUUCAUCAAACAUUCAUUAAGUACAUAUAUACCAGACCUUGUGCUAGACCCAAGGGAGGGAUAUAAAAACAAAUUCUUGCUUUGUGAUUGAGCUCACAAAUGAGGGAAGUGACAGACGAGGGUAAAAUCAUAAUACAGGAUAAAGAAAACUGCAGCAUCACAGAUGGUGUAUCAAUUGAUUCUGUCUAGAGGGUUCACAGAAGAGAAGAUACUUAAUGUGGACUUGGAACGCUAGCUAAUAUUUCACUAGAGGGAGAAGGCGCAAAGGGCAUUCCAGUCAGAUAUCUACUUAUAAUCCGUAUCAAGAGAGUCACUACAUUUUUGAAAAAAUGGUAAGUGGAAGGAAGGUAUCCAGAAGGCAUGUAAAGGUGAUGUAAUUGUUUCUUUUCUUUCUUCUACUUCUUUUUUAUUUUCUUAGAUUGACAGAAGACAAGCUAACUUCAUAAAACAAAGUUAGAAACAAAGAAGCAUCAGAGACAACUGAACCAGGACAAGAAAUGGUGAAAGUGUAGCAGGGAAAACAAUCUGUUACUUUAUACAUACCCUAAAAAAUGCAUGAAAGUUUGAAACCUCAAUGAAACCUCAAGGAAACCCCAUGAAAAACAGGAUGCUCCUCUUUUAAUGAUCAAGCAAGUGAAUAUAUCAAUUUAGAGAUUACGAAAAAAUGAAAAGUGACUAACAGUAUGUUUGUCAAAGAUACAUUCAAAUGCAUUUUACAAAACAACUUCAACAAUAGUUCAUGAACUAAGCAGGACAAUGGGAGAAUAAGCUGAGUCCUAGUCAGAAUUAUUACCAAUACUUUGUGUCACAGGUGUAAAGGCCUGUUACUCCUUUAUACCACCUCAACUCUUUUGCUAGGUGCUACUGAGAUGAGUGAAUAUUCUGAGUUUAUUUUAAAGAUAGAAAUCUGUGCAAGAAAAAGUAGCAAAGCAUUUUAAGGGUAAAUAAUUCAAAACCUCAGGUGGCAACAUACACAUGUACACGCAUACAAACUCAUUUCUCACAUUCAGAACUAUUAAGUUAAAGAUCAGACAUAUGAUUUACAUUACUGUUGAAGGUGAAAGGGGAUGCUAUUUAUAAUUUUCACUGGGGAAACAGGUACAAACCUGGAUGGUCCCAGGCAGAAUUAGAUGUAUGGUGACCCUAGUUACAGGAACCACAAAGUUAGACUUUGUUAAACAGAACAAAGCCAAUGUUCUUUGUGCUCCUCUAAGGAGCUCCUGGAGCUUUUGGUCUUGACAUAUAAGAAAUUUUGGUAUGGGCAUAAUUUAUAAUGUAAGUGCUGAAGGGAUGGAGUAGGGACCAGUAUAAUAUUGUGGUUAAGAGUAUUACUAGCUUCACAUCCUGGCUAAUGAAUUGUGUGAUGUUGGACAAGAUGCAUCUAUAUGACCAGCUACUGUGUGCCUUAGCUUCUUCAUUUGUAAAUUGAGAACAAUAAUUGGUUAUAGUGAGAAUUAAAUGAGUUAAUAUAUGGAAAUUGCUUGUAGCGAGGUCUGGCUCACAGCAUUAUAUAUUAUUAUAUAUUGUCAUUUUGUUUAAUUAUCCCCAUUUUAUAGAUUUCAAAAGAAACACACACACAACCAAAAGAAACAAACAAAUUUUAUUUUAGGGUUUAUCUGAUGUCUUUCAGGUUCACUUUAGAAUAUUCAAGAAGGGAUCCAGGCAUUAGAUUGGGCUGGAAACUUGGUCUCCUACAGAAAGAACUAUCUUCCCGGCUUUCUCUGGAAAUGAGUGGAGGGAAUGAAGAGCUUCCAGAAGAUGGAUGAAGAGUCUGUAAAUUUGGAAGAGGCAGAAGAUAGCAAUGAGAGUUAACAGAGAUAUGACAUGAACAUAUAUUAGAAAAAUGAUUCACACACAAUAGAAAAACUUCCUCGAACAAAUAAACAAACUGGCAGAGACUGUUACUUGUAGCAUGUGGCUAAUUUCUAGUCAGAGAAUAUGAACAGAACUUAUGAGUAUUUCUUCUAUGUCUGGCCCAUAUCAUUUUUCUGGUCAACGAACAAACAAAUAAACAAGCCAAAUACAACAAUGAAGAUUAAAAAAAAAAAAAAAGAAAACCCUUCCUAGUUUCCACCCGGCUGGAGAAGACUGUGCCAAGCUUGGAAGCCAUAUUGUUGAAAGUGGCAGAGCAUUUUAUCGACUUGAGUUCAGUGACUAUGGAGAAGGAGCCCUAUUACUCUACUAGACUGUUUGAAGAGCAAGCAAUAAACUUAUACCAUGUUGAGUCA